rnacentral:rRNA from 1 species
GAGAGGUGAAAUUCGUAGAUAUUCGGAGGAACACCAGUGGCGAAGGCGGGCUUACUGGUCCAUUAUUGACGCUGAGGUGCGAAAGCGUGGGGAGCAAACAGGAUUAGAUAUCGUGGUAGUACAUGCCGUAAACGAUGUAUGUUAGCCGUCGGGCAGUAUAUUUGUUCGGGUGGCGCAGAUAACGCAUUAAACAUUCCGCCUGGGGAGUACGGUCGCAAGAUUAAAACUCAAAGGAAUUGACGGGUGCCCCGCACAAGCGGUGGAGCAUGUCGUUUAAUUUGAAGCAACGCGCAGAACCUUACCAGCUCUUGACAUUCGGGGUAUGGGCAUUGGAGACGAUGUCCAUCAGUUAGUCUGACCCCAGAACAGGUGCUGCAUGGCUGUCGUCAGCUCGUGUCGUGAGAUGUUGGGUUAAGUCCCGCAACGAGCGCAACCCUCGCCCUUAGUUGCCAGCAUUUAGUUGGGCACUCUAAGGGGACUGCCGGUGAUAACCCGAGAGGAAGGUGGGGAUGACGUCAAGUCCUCAUGGCCCUUACGGGCUGGGCUACACACGUGCUACAAUGGUGGUGACAGUGGGCAGCGAGACAGCGAUGUCGAGCUAAUCUCCAAAACCCAUAUCAGUUCGGAUUGCACUCUGCAACUCGAGUGCACGAAGUUGGAAUCGGUAGUAAUCGCAGAUCAGCAUGUUGCGGUGAAUACGUUCCCGGGCCUUGUACACACCGCCCGUCACACCAUGGGAGUUGGUCUUACCCGAAGGUAGUGCGCUACCCCCAUGGGGGCAGCUAACCACGGUAGCGUCACUGACCAGCUGAAGCCGCUCAAGUAGAGAUGAUCCUGCUCA